UUCAAAGCUUCCACUAGCAAUGUUAACAAUGAGGAAACUGGGUGUUGGGUAUUUAGGAACUGUAUGUAAUGUUCUUGCAAUUUUUCUGUAAAUCUUCAACUAUUCUGAAAUUUAAAGUUUAUUUAAAAAAAAUAAGCUGACUCACACCAAACCAGACUUUCUCCAUAACAGAAUCACUGAUAUGGUUAGGCUUUGUGUCCCCACCCAAAUCUUAUCUUGAAUUGUAAUCCCAGGUGUUGAGGGAGGGACCUGGUGGGAAGUGAUUGGAUCAUGGGGGCGGUUUCCUCCAUGCUGUUCUCGUGAUAGUGAGGGACUUCUCAUGAUAUCUGUUGGUUUUAUAAAUGGCAGUCCCCCUGGGCUUUUUCUGUCUCUCCUGUCACCUUGUGAAGAAGAUGCCUGCUUCUCCUUCCUCCAUGAUUGAGGCUGAUGUGGGCCAAGUGUGCGUGCACAAACACUGCCUUUGCCGUGAGCGCCUCCAGGUCCUGCGUAA
rnacentral:lncRNA from 1 species